AUCCUUUUGUAGUUUAUAAGCGUGAUGAUUGGGUUUUCACACACAUGCGUGAGAUGUGCUUCCCUCAAACCUUGUUACAACGCCAGCACAUUACCUGUCUGAUG
rnacentral:snoRNA from 1 species